ACUUUACUCAUGCGCUCCCAGAGCCUACCCAGCCAGUAACUCCAAACUCCUAGUCUGCCCUGCGUAGGGGUCCGGAAGCCGCCGGGCUUAGAGAAAGGAAACAGCAGCCUCCCCGCGCCUGGAGGCGGAGGCUGGGCAGUGGUAGGCGCUGUGUUUGACGUCACCGGUAGUGGGUGGGGCCCAGCGCGGACCAGCGCGACUUCCGGAACAGAGGAGCGCCCUGUUGUCGGGAGGGAAGUCAGACGCGGCACGUGACCCCUGACGCACGUAGUACGGCGGCAUGCGCGGUGCGGAGCGGCGGCCCCUUUGGGCUUCCCUUAUCUCUUUAAAUUGGGAGAAUUGGGCUCUUGGUCCGUGGAAGUGUUGGAAUGUGAGCUGUUUUGACCCUUCUCUUUACACCGCUCUCAGUGGCUGGGCUGAGGACUAUGAGUCACAGUGCCGGCACACAGUGAUCAGAGCUCCAGUUCUACUGAGAAUCAAUCUGUAGAGAAACAGUCUUUCCAAACACUAGAAAGCUGGAGGAAGUGAGGCUGUUUAGGAAUAUCCGGGCAUUGAUUCUGCUUUUCCACCUUGUGCCUAACUCUGGAGGCUGAUGAAAGCUCUGCUGAAACAAUGCUGCUCUGUUCCUGCUCUGCGGGGCAUCUUCACGCCCGAGAUUUUGGAUCUUUGGCUAAGUAAGUCAGAAAUGAAGUGUAAAUAUGUGUGUGUGUGUGUGUGUGUGUGUGUGUGUGUGUGUGUUUUCCCCUAUAGCUCACACCUGAUGGCUAACAUGACAGUCUCAGUUCUGAUGCUUUACAUAUAUUAAUUCUUGUAAUCCACAUAUCAGACAUAUGAAUUAGCUGUUUUCAGAAAAGAGGAUUGUGGAACAGAGAGGUCAAAUGACUCUCUUUUCUUUUUUUUUUGGUACGGGGGAUUGAACUCAGGACUGUAUGCUUAUAAGGAAGGCGCAGUGCCACUGAGCUAAACUCCCAUCCCUGACUUUCUUAAGUAGAUCUAUUAAUACUGACUAGGGGUAUGGGUUUUGGUCUAGAGCAGAUAUGUCUAACCCAGAGGACACCUGUGACUCUGGUCAGCUAGUAAGACUGCCCCAUGUAAACUUCUAACAUUAUUAGGUGGUUUUGGUGAUAUAUUUUGUGAUUCAUUCUGUGGUGCCCAGGCAGACUCCAUAGGCAACGACUGAAAAAAAUGCUUUGUAGGGAAGUGCUCAGUGCAGUGCCAGCUCCACCUCCCAUGCCCUACCACAUAUAGUAGAAGAGUCAAAACCUGUGUGUAUCAGAUGUUACAUGCACUCAUGUGACGUGGUGAGUAAAAUGCAGUGAUUAACAGUGUUAUUUUAACCUGUUUAUGUGUGUGUGUGCCUAUGAAGGUGUUCUUAUUUUAUAUGCAGCCCAAGCCAAUUCCUCUUUAUUUAAUGUGGCCCAGGCAAGCCAAAAGGUGGGACACUCAUGAUCUAGUGUGCAUGUAUAUAUACAUUGAACUCAUGGUUUCCUCCUGCCUCAGCCUCCCUAGGCAUGUACAGCCGUGCUCGGCUAGGGCUUAUAUUUUUAGCUAUCAUACUAUACUAGCCUAUUUGAAAUGUUGCAAGCCAAUUUUAACUAUUUUUGUCUUCUGGUGAAUGUUUCUAUUAUUUAAAAUGUUUGUACUACUGUUUCAUGAUUUAUUAAUAAAGAAUAACCAUUGACUUAACUACUCUUGUGCUACAUGACUUCCUGCUUUAAAUUUUAUGUAGUUAUAUAUUGUUGUUGUUGUUCCCCCUAUUGAUUUUUUCCACAUCUAAUAUGCCUGAACUUCUGUGAUGGCUUGUGUCUAGAUGUA